rnacentral:lncRNA from 1 species
CAUGGCAUUCUGUGGGUCUUCAUUUUACAAAUACAACCCCUUCUCCGUUUGUUUACAAAGAUCCCAGAUAUGAAUACAUUCGGGGAAGAUUUCUGCAAAGAGUGCAGCAUAAAUAUGAAAUCUAGACAUGAUGCUGAUAUUGCACUGGCGAUAAGUAACAUUUCUAAAACACAAGAAAAACAACGAAGACAUUAUGCUAAAAGAGACUUCUAAAUAUGGGGAAAUAACAUUUGAUGUUGGCGACUGUUACUGAAUGCGAGAGAGAACAAGAAAAGGAGGACUGGUGCAAUCUACCUAUCGGGGACCAUACAAAAUUAAGACUGAGGGCAAGAGUUAAAUUGCAAACCAUCUCAGGGAAACUGGUUAUUGAUGCGUAUUUGAGCUGUGUGGUCAAGAAAGCAGGUGGAAAGAGUGGAAUUCUUCAAUAUGAUAUAUUAUUGCUUCCUUACCACACAUCAGGUCAUUGGGUUCUUGCGGUAAGAUGCUUUCUGUUGUACUUCGGGAUUAUGGGCACUAAAUAUAGUAUUAUAGAAGAGAUUUGUAACACACAACUGGGUAGCAGUGAUAAUUUCCCAUGUUGUGGUUUUCAGUGAGUUCAGUGCAUGCAAAGGAGAGUGGAACGUGAAUGUAACUCUUGACAUUUCAAGAACUGAGUUUUAAAAAAAAAAAAAAUGUGACUGACCACUGAAAUGCUGUUAAUGUAACAUGGAAGAAUACAGUCUAAUAAUUUGAUCAAUGAAUUCACAAUAUGCUUUUCUCUCGUGUUAGUGAGACAUUACAAAUAAGAAUGUUAAUGGAAUAUUUUGA